ensembl:snRNA Rnu6-946 RNA, U6 small nuclear 946
GUGCUCAUGAAGUAGCACGUAUACUAAAAAUUGGAACAAUUCAGUGAAGAUUAGUCUGGCCCCAUACAAGGAUGGCGUGCAAAUCUGCAAAGUAGAUCCACAUAUUU